rnacentral:tRNA from 1 species
GGGAAUUUAGCUCAGUGGUAGAGCGCUUGCCUAGCAAGUGCAAGGCCCUGGGUUCGGUCCCCAGUUCCG